CAGGGACUCGAAGAGGAUUGGAGAAUUGAAAUGGGAAAUGCACAGAUAGAUCAAUGAUGGAGAACUCGGCAAACUGUUGUUUGAAUUUCAUUGAUGAAGGAAGAAACGAGAGAAAUUUUCCAAGUCUCUCUCUUUUUAUUAAAGUCAAUAACAAAAAUUUUCAAGUAAAGUAAGAAAUUUAUACGUCCUAUUUUAGCAGUAAGAGUAGUUAGAUGUUUAAAUUGAAUUAAAGUGUCUAUCAAAGUUUAGUAGUAGUGUAAAUAAAGAAGUUUUUCAAUUAGUGUUAAAGUCUAACAGGAGAAGUGCAAUUGAAAUGUCGUUUUAAAGACUUUCAGUAGUUGUGCAAAUAAAAAUGUUCAAAAAUCUGUCAAAGUCAAGUAGAAGUAAUGCAAGUGAACGAGUCGUAUUAAAAAUCUGUCAAAGUGUAGUAGAAGUAAUGCAAGUGAACGAGUCGUAUUAAAAAUCUGUCAAAGUGUAGUAGAAGUAAUGCAAGUGAAAAAGUCGUAUUAAAAUUCUGUGAAAGUCUAA